AUUGAACGCUGGCGGCAGGCCUAACACAUGCAAGUCGAGCGGAUGAAGGGAGCUUGCUCCUGGAUUCAGCGGCGGACGGGUGAGUAAUGCCUAGGAAUCUGCCUGGUAGUGGGGGAUAACGUCCGGAAACGGGCGCUAAUACCGCAUACGUCCUGAGGGAGAAAGUGGGGGGUCUUCGGACCUCACGCUAUCAGAUGAGCCUAGGUCGGAUUAGCUAGUUGGUGGGGUAAAGGCCUACCAAGGCGACGAUCCGUAACUGGUCUGAGAGGAUGAUCAGUCACACUGGAACUGAGACACGGUCCAGACUCCUACGGGAGGCAGCAGUGGGGAAUAUUGGACAAUGGGCGAAAGCCUGAUCCAGCCAUGCCGCGUGUGUGAAGAAGGUCUUCGGAUUGUAAAGCACUUUAAGUUGGGAGGAAGGGCAGUAAGUUAAUACCUUGCUGUUUGACGUUACCAACAGAAUAAGCACCGGCUAACUUCGUG
rnacentral:rRNA from 1 species